rnacentral:rRNA from 1 species
GACGAACGCUGGCGGCGUGCUUAACACAUGCAAGUCGAACGAUGAUCUCCCGCUUGCGGGGGUGAUUAGUGGCGAACGGGUGAGUAAUACGUGAGUAACCUGCCCUUGACUCUGGGAUAAGCCUGGGAAACCGGGUCUAAUACUGGAUACGACUUCUCAUCGCAUGGUGGGGGGUGGAAAGGGUUUGACUGGUUUUGGAUGGGCUCACGGCCUAUCAGCUUGUUGGUGGGGUAAUGGCUCACCAAGGCGACGACGGGUAGCCGGCCUGAGAGGGUGACCGGCCACACUGGGACUGAGACACGGCCCAGACUCCUACGGGAGGCAGCAGUGGGGAAUAUUGCACAAUGGGCGCAAGCCUGAUGCAGCGACGCCGCGUGAGGGAUGACGGCCUUCGGGUUGUAAACCUCUUUCAGCAGGGAAGAAGCCCACAAGUGACGGUACCUGCAGAAGAAGCGCCGGCUAACUACGUGCCAGCAGCCGCGGUAAUACGUAGGGCGCAAGCGUUGUCCGGAAUUAUUGGGCGUAAAGAGCUCGUAGGCGGUUUGUCGCGUCUGCUGUGAAAGCCCGGGGCUCAACCCCGGGUCUGCAGUGGGUACGGGCAGACUAGAGUGCAGUAGGGGAGACUGGAAUUCCUGGUGUAGCGGUGAAAUGCGCAGAUAUCAGGAGGAACACCGAUGGCGAAGGCAGGUCUCUGGGCUGUUACUGACGCUGAGGAGCGAAAGCAUGGGGAGCGAACAGGAUUAGAUACCCUGGUAGUCCAUGCCGUAAACGUUGGGCACUAGGUGUGGGGGACAUUCCACGUUCUCCGCGCCGUAGCUAACGCAUUAAGUGCCCCGCCUGGGGAGUACGGCCGCAAGGCUAAAACUCAAAGGAAUUGACGGGGGCCCGCACAAGCGGCGGAGCAUGCGGAUUAAUUCGAUGCAACGCGAAGAACCUUACCAAGGCUUGACAUUCACCGGACCGCCCCAGAGAUGGGGUUUCCCUUCGGGGUCGGUGGACAGGUGGUGCAUGGUUGUCGUCAGCUCGUGUCGUGAGAUGUUGGGUUAAGUCCCGCAACGAGCGCAACCCUCGUUCUAUGUUGCCAGCACGUGAUGGUGGGGACUCAUAGGAGACUGCCGGGGUCAACUCGGAGGAAGGUGGGGAUGACGUCAAAUCAUCAUGCCCCUUAUGUCUUGGGCUUCACGCAUGCUACAAUGGCCGGUACAAAGGGUUGCGAUACUGUGAGGUGGAGCUAAUCCCAAAAAGCCGGUCUCAGUUCGGAUUGAGGUCUGCAACUCGACCUCAUGAAGUCGGAGUCGCUAGUAAUCGCAGAUCAGCAACGCUGCGGUGAAUACGUUCCCGGGCCUUGUACACACCGCCCGUC